AGCGAACGCUGGCGGCAUGCUUAACACAUGCAAGUCGCACGGGCGGGGGCAACUCCGUCAGUGGCGGACGGGUGAGUAACGCGUAGGAAUCUAUCCUUGAAUGGGGGACAACCGUGGGAAACUACGGCUAAUACCGCAUGAUGCCUGAGGGCCAAAGACGAAAGUCGUUUGAGGAGGAGCCUGCGUCUGAUUAGGUAGUUGGUGGGGUAAAGGCCUACCCAAGCCUACGAUCAGUAGCUGGUCUGAGAGGAUGAUCAGCCACAUUGGGACUGAGACACGGCCCAAACUCCUACGGGAGGCAGCAGUGGGGAAUAUUGGACAAUGGGCGCAAGCCUGAUCCAGCAAUGCCGCGUGGGUGAAGAAGGUCUUCGGAUUGUAAAGCCCUUUCGACGGGGACGAUGAUGACGGUACCCGCAGAAUAAGCUCCGGCUAACUUCGUG
rnacentral:rRNA from 1 species